UACGUAGGGGGCGAGCGUUGUCCGGAAUCAUUGGGCGUAAAGCGCGUGUAGGCGGCUCGAUAAGUCCGGUGUGAAACCUUGGGGCUCAACCCCAAGCCUGCACUGGAUACUGCCGAGCUAGAGUCCGGGAGGGGAGAGCGGAAUCCUAGUGUAGCGGUGAAAUGCGCAGAUAUUAGGAAGAACACCGGUGGCGAAGGCGGCUACUCUGGAACGGUACUGACGCUGAGACGCGAAAGCGUGGGGAG
rnacentral:rRNA from 1 species